UACGGGGGGGGCAAGCGUUGUUCGGAAUUACUGGGCGUAAAGGGCUCGUAGGUGGCCAGGUAAGUUUGAUGUGAAAGCUCGGAGCUUAACUCCGAAAUGGCAUUGAAUACUAUCUGGCUUGAGGGUCGGAGGGGAGACUGGAAUUCUCGGUGUAGCAGUGAAAUGCGUAGAUAUCGAGAGGAACACCAGUGGCGAAGGCGAGUCUCUGGACGACACCUGACACUGAGGCACGAAAGCUAGGGGAGCAAACAGG
rnacentral:rRNA from 1 species